rnacentral:rRNA from 1 species
AUUGAACGCUAGCGGCAUGCCUUACACAUGCAAGUCGAACGGCAGCGGGGGAGCUUGCUCCCGCCGGCGAGUGGCGAACGGGUGAGUAAUACAUCGGAACGUACCCAGUAGCGGGGGAUAGCCCGGCGAAAGCCGGAUUAAUACCGCAUACGCCCUACGGGGGAAAGGGGGGAAUCGCAAGACCUCUCACUAUUGGCGCGGCCGAUGGUUGAUUAGCUAGGUGGUGGGGUAAAGGCGUACCAAGGCGACGAUCAGUAGCUGGUCUGAGAGGACGACCAGCCACACUGGGACUGAGACACGGCCCAGACUCCUACGGGAGGCAGCAGUGGGGAAUUUUGGACAAUGGGCGAAAGCCUGAUCCAGCAAUGCCGCGUGUGCGAAGAAGGCCUUCGGGUUGUAAAGCACUUUUGUCAGGGAAGAAAUCGUUUGGGUUAGUACCCCGAGCAGUUGACGGUACCUGAAGAAUAAGCACCGGCUAACCACGUGCCAGCCGCCGCCGUAA